GACGAACGCUGGCGGCGCGCCUAACACAUGCAAGUCGAACGAGCGAGAGAGAGCUUGCUUUCUCGAGCGAGUGGCGAACGGGUGAGUAACGCGUGAGGAACCUGCCUCAAAGAGGGGGACAACAGUUGGAAACGACUGCUAAUACCGCAUAAGCCCACGGGUCGGCAUCGACCAGAGGGAAAAGGAGCAAUCCGCUUUGAGAUGGCCUCGCGUCCGAUUAGCUAGUUGGUGAGGUAACGGCCCACCAAGGCAACGAUCGGUAGCCGGACUGAGAGGUUGAACGGCCACAUAGGGACUGCGGCACGGCACAGACUGCGACGGGGGGGAGAAGGGGGAAAGACUGCACAAGGGGGGAAACCCUGAUGCGGCGACGCGGCGUGGAGGAAGAAGGUCUUAGGUUUGUAAACACCUGUGGUUGGAGAAGAUGAUGACGGUACAAAACAAGGAAGUGACGGCUAACUACGUGCGCGCAGGCGAGGUAAAGGAUAAAAGAGAACAAGUCUGAAC
rnacentral:rRNA from 1 species